rnacentral:rRNA from 1 species
GACGAACCGUGCGAACGUUAUUCGGAAUCACUGGGCUUAAAGCGCGUGUAGGCGGGAGGGCACGUCCGUCGCUGAAAUCCCCCGGCUCAACCGGGGAACGGGCGCGGAUACGACCUUCCUGGAGGGGCGUAGGGGGACCUGGAACUUCCGGUGGAGCGGUGAAAUGCGUUGAGAUCGGAAGGAACGCCCGUGGCGAAAGCGAGGUCCUGGACGCCUACUGACGCUGAGACGCGAAAGCCAGGGGAGCG